UCCGAUAUGGUGUAGUGGUUAACAUCGUUCGCUCUCAUUAGGAUCUUGAUCCGACUUGGACCGAACAGCCCCGGGUUCGAUUCCCGGUGUCGGAA